rnacentral:rRNA from 1 species
GAUGAACGCUGGCGGCGUGCCUAAUACAUGCAAGUCGAGCGAACGGACGAGAAGCUUGCUUCUCUGAUGUUAGCGGCGGACGGGUGAGUAACACGUGGAUAACCUACCUAUAAGACUGGGAUAACUUCGGGAAACCGGAGCUAAUACCGGAUAAUAUUUUGAACCGCAUGGUUCAAAAGUGAAAGACGGUCUUGCUGUCACUUAUAGAUGGAUCCGCGCUGCAUUAGCUAGUUGGUAAGGUAACGGCUUACCAAGGCAACGAUGCAUAGCCGACCUGAGAGGGUGAUCGGCCACACUGGAACUGAGACACGGUCCAGACUCCUACGGGAGGCCGCAGUAGGGAAUCUUCCGCAAUGGGCGAAAGCCUGACGGAGCAACGCCGCGUGAGUGAUGAAGGUCUUCGGAUCGUAAAACUCUGUUAUUAGGGAAGAACAUAUGUGUAAGUAACUGUGCACAUCUUGACGGUACCUAAUCAGAAAGCCACGGCUAACUCCGUG